GGCACUGUAUCUCCUUCCAUAUUUGGAACGGCGGCAUAAGUCGCGGAAUCCCCCGUCUCCGCCGCCUACGACUCCUUGCCUGGCGAGCUUGAAUUUUUCUGACGCUAAAGAUGUUGAAUGCGAAGAGCUUGAAUAAGGCAGUAGUUCCUAAAUCCCUCAUCCCUCACCCUUCUCCGGCCAGCGUUCAGUCUACCCGUCUCGCCGUCACUGUAGAUGGGGUCGCCUCAAGUUGCUGGGUUUACAUUGCUUCGGGUCCCAACAUAUACAAACUCCGAAUUUCAAUGGAGGAUUCAUUUGUUGGUCAAGGAAAAGAGAGCCUUCUAAUCCCUGAGCAAACCCAAGUCUUGGAUUCGUCAAUGGUUAACCGCUGCCCUCACCGUUCAGAAAUUCAAAGUAUUGUGCUAGCUGAAACUCAAAGGAUGGAUUGCUCAGUCUUGGGGAGCGUGGACUCUUAUGGUCACCUUAUAGUUUCCAAACUCGAUAAUAGUGAUGGGUUUACAUAUUCAGUGUCUCCACGGGAUUAUAAUGUUGGAGAAGGCAGUUGGGCUGGUCUUUGCUUUAACCCCAAUCAAUUGUUCAUGGCAGCUGUGGCACGCAGCUUCAGCAAGAGCAUUGAUAUUUAUGACCAAGAUAUUCAUCUCCGCAGUUUACGCACGCUGUGGUAUCCAUCUUCGUUGAUAUUUAUGAACAAUGUUAGUGAUAGUGGAAGUUCAAUGUUAGCUGUUGCAGAAGGUUCCCAGCUAAGUAUAUGGGAUUUACGAACCAAUGAAAAUGGAGGUUGUGUUCGUAGAAUUAUGGGAUCUGUUGGAGACAUUAUGUAUGCAGUCAGUGCAUCUUCAUCUGGUAUUGUUGCUACUGGUGGGGCUGACCGAACCAUCACGUUCUAUGAUCCACGGAGAUGGUCUGCUCUAUCAAGGUGGAUGAACUGCUCAAAAUAUGAGAUAGCUGGGCUUACCUUUUCAUCUGUUGACCCCAAUUACAUUUAUGUGCAAGGAGUUGACUAUGAGGUUCUAUGUGGACAGUGGAGAGAAAGUAAGGAGGCAUUUGCAUUUAGGGGGGAUUCUAAUUGGCUUGGAUUUAGCAAGUGCUCCAACAGGGAUGUUUUAGCUGGUUGGUGUGACUCGGGUAGCAUAUUUGUUGCUGAUGUUUCGUAGAAGACUUGUUCAAAUUGGUCACAUUAGAAAAUCAGAGGUGCAUUGCCCAAAAGAACCAUCAAAGUCCAGGAUGUAGCAGAGUACCUGUUGGGAAUGGCAAUGGCCAGAAGUAGGCAAAGGUCGAAUUGUGGCAGUGUCAACCUCACCGGUGGGCAGAGGAACUGCAGGAUUGCUGGUGAUGAUUGGGAUGUUAUAAGGGGGGCCCAUAGGGCUUAUGGCUGUGGUAAUGGACAAAGCAGGCGCAGGGCUUGGAGGGGGGCCUUCUCUGGACGACGGCUGAGCUGGGGAAGAAAUGGCUAUGGCACCGGAUGCAGGAUGUGUCCCGGGCGGCGGAGGAAGGCCGCCGUCCGGCGGGUUCUGGGAAACCUUGAAGGCAAACUUGUGGCCUUGCAGACAUUCUUCGUUUGAGCCAUUUUGGAAGGAAAAAUAGAAGAAUCCAGGGCGUGAAGAGUGCCACUUGAUCAUUGAUCAGAGUCAGUACGAGGGAAAGGAAUUCGUACAAUAUAUAUGAUUCAUUUCAUGACAGGAGAUUUCAAGGAGUGACUCACAGUGUAAGAAGUAGUGGAUUUGGGGUCUCUCAAGAGAGUGGCUUGAGUGAAGUUGCAGAGAGUGAAGGCUUCCUGGCUCUUGAAAAUGUAGAGGCUGUAGUGACGAUACUUGUGCUGGAAAACUGAAUGAACACCAUCAACAGCAGCAAACAUUAUCAUUACUUGAAAUCAAAAUCCUGUUUUGUAGUGAUGGACAGUCGAGGAAUGGACUUACUGACAGAGUCUCCUAUUAGGAGGUGAGUGCUCUUUAAUUCUGAAACUCCAUCAACCACCAUUGUUGCAGACUGGGAAUAUUGAAAGAGGAGAGGAGCCACAAGAAAUAAGAGAAGUAAGUUAUGUCCCAUGUAUCUAUCUAUCUACCAAUCUGGUUGUCUUUGUUUCUGAUUCUGUCUGAGUAUUCUUGUUGGGGAAGAAGACAGUGAUUUGCACAUA